rnacentral:rRNA from 1 species
AAAACUCUAAGUGGUGGAUCACUCGGCUCAUGGGUCGAUGAAGAACGCAGCAAACUGUACGUCAUCGUGUGAACUGCAGGACACAUGAGCAUCGACAUUUUGAACGCAUAUCGCAGUCCAUGCUGUUAUGUACUUUAAUUAAUUUUAUAGUGCUGCUUGGACUACAUAUGGUUGAGGGUAGUAAGACUAUGCUUAAGUUGUUUAUAAAUUUUAUAAGCAUAUGGUAUAUUAUUGGAUAAAAUAAUAAUUUUUUUAUUCAAAAUAUUAAAAAAUAUAUAUGAAAAACAUUAUCUCACAUUUGGAUGUGAAAAACGAAGAGAAAUAUUUUCUUUUUCGAUCAAGUAAUACUGAAAAAUGUCUAGCAUAAAAAAUUGAAUUAUUUUUCAUCUAGAAUUGUCUCUUAUUAAUGAUUCGGAAAUAGAAAAAACUUGGUUAUGUUAUAAUUCUUCGUUGGUUCGUUUAAUGGAAAACACUUUCUUACAAGAAAUAAUUUAAUAAAAUGUUUUUAUCAUUAUAUAUUAAUUAAUGGCAAGAAAAAGUUAUAUACAACCUCAACUCAUAUGGGACUACCCCCUGAAUUUAAGCAUAUUAAUUAGGGGAGGAAAAGAAACUAACAAGGAUUUUCUUAGUAGCGGCGAGCGAAAAGAAAACAGUUCUGCACUAAGUCAGUUUGUCUAUAUGGCAAAUGUGAGAUGUGGUGUAUGGAGCGUGAAUAGUAUGAGAAAUUAACGCAUAGAAGGUGCCAGGCCCGUAUAAAGUUAAUGAUUACUAGAUGAUGUUUCCAAAGAGUCGUGUUGCUUGAUAGUGCAGCACUAAGUGGGUGGUAAACUCCAUCUAAAACUAAAUAUAACCAUGAGACCGAUAGUAAACAAGUACCGUGAGGGAAAGUUGAAAAGAACUCUGAAUAGAGAGUUAAACAGUACGUGAAACUGCUUAGAGGUUAAGCCCGAUGAACCGAAUAUCCUUUAUGGAAAAUUCAUCAUUAAAAUUGUAAUAUUUAAAUAAUAUUAUGAGGAUAGUGUGCAUUUUUUCCAUAUAACGGCAUUGUAAUCUAUUAGCAUAUACCAAAUAAUUAUCAUUGAUUUUUGUGUGAAAGAUUCGGGAUACCUUCGGGACCCGUCUUGAAACACGGACCAAGGAGUCUAACAUAUGGGCAAGUUAUUGGGAUAUAAACCUAAUAGCGUAAUUAACUUCACUAAUAAUGGGAAUAGUUUAUUAACUAUUUAUAGCCAAUUAACACAAUCCCGGGGCGUUCUAUAUAGUUAUGUAUAAUGUAUAUUUAUAUUAUUUAUGCCUCUAACUGGAACGUACCUUGAGCAUAUAUGCUGUGACCCGAAAGAUGGUGAACUAUACUUGAUCAGGUUGAAGUCAGGGGAAACCCUGGUGGAAGACCGAAACAGUUGCAAAUCGAUUGUCUGAAUUGAGUAUAGGGGCGAAAGACCGAUCGAACGAUCUAGUAGCUGGUUCCUUCCGAAGUUUCCCUAAGGAUAGCUGGUGCAUUUUAAUAUUAUAUAAAAUAAUCUUAUCUGGUAAAGCGAAUGAUUAGAGGGCUUAGGGUCGAAACGAUCUUAACCUAUUCUCAAACUUUAAGUGGGUAAGAACCUUAACUUUCUUGAUAUGAAGUUCAAGGUUAUGAUAUAAUGUGCCCAAUGGGCCACUUUUGGUAAGCAGAACUGGUGCUGUGGGAUGAACCAAACGUAAUGUUACGGUGCCCAAAUUAACAACUCAUGCAGAUAACAUGAAAGGCGUUGCUUGCUUAAAACAGCAGGACGGUGAUCAUGGAAGUCGAAAUCCGCUAAGGAAUAAAUAACAACUCACCUGCCGAAGCAACUAUUCCUUAAAAUGGAUGGCGCUUAAGCUGUAAGCCAUGGGAAAGGGCUUGGAAUAAUUAGCGGGAAAAGACCCUUUUGACCUUGACUCUAAUCUGGCAGUGUAAGGAGACAUAAGAGGUGUAGAAUAAGUGGGAGAUAUUAGACCUCGGUUUGGUAGCGUCAAUGAAAUACCACUACCUUUAUUGUUUCCUUACUAACUUGAUUCAAUGGAACGUGUAUCAUUUCCUAGCCAUUAUACGGAUAUAUUUAUUAUAUCUUAUGGUAUUGGGUUUUGAUGCAAGCUUCUUGAUCAAAGUAUCACGAGUUUGUUAUAUAAUCGCAAACAAAUUCUUUAAUAAAACGAUUCAUUUAUGUAUUUUUGAUUUGAAAAUUUUGUAUAACUCCAAUUACUCAGGUAUGAUUCAAUUCAAGGACAUUGCCAGGUAGGGAGUUUGACUGGGGCGGUACAUCUCUCCAAUCAUAACGGAGGUGUCCCAAGGCCAGCUCAGUGCGGACAGAAACCACACAUAGAGCAAAAGGGCAAAUGCUGACUUGAUCUCGGUGUUCAGUACACACAGGGUCAGCAAAAGCUCGUCCUAUCUUUUGGUUUAAAGAGUUUUUAACAAGAGGUGUAAGAAAAGUUACCAUAGGGAUAACUGGCUUGUGGCGGCUAAACGUUUAUAGUGAUCAUUGUGAAGGAAAAAUUCACCAAACGUUGGAUUGUUCACCCAUGCAAGGGAAGGUGAACUGGGUUUAGACCGUCGUGAGACAGGUUAGUUUUA